rnacentral:misc_RNA from 1 species
GUUCGUCGAUUGCCCAUUGCACCCCAUGUGUGCAUCUGCUCCUUUUUGGCACCCUUGGACGUGGCCACUUCCACCGCGACAGCACACACCAUGCUAGUGGUGCUCGACAUCUCCGCAUCUCUCGCUCUACCUUGCACGCACCCAACAACACAGGCAUCAAACCCACCGCCGCUUGCCCCAGUACACGUCCCCCUUCAUCUCAUGCCUACCUGCGGCCCGGUAGCCCUUGACCCCUCUUUCUCUCAUCGCCCCUCAGCUCGCCAUGAGGCACACCGAGGCCAAGCAGGCCGUGCGCGAGGCCGAGGCACUCGUCGCAGAGAGCCCCUUCAGCCUCCGACCCUUCUCCAACUGGAGCCCGGGGGGACUGGAAGGCGAAGGGGUGCGAGCGCGACGAGAUCCGCGAGAACAUGCUGUGCUGGGCCAUCACCGACUUUGGCUGCAGCCACUUCCGCGAGUGCGGCCCCACACUCACCACCGCCCGCAAUGGCGACCAGCUCAUUGUGGGGGAGGGCCAGCCCUGCCCUCGCCACCUACACUGCAAGAAGAGGGAGGACCUUAUCCACCGCGGCGGCUGCGUGCCGGCCAAGAGGCUGCUCCAGAGUCUCUCAGGGGCGCGAGGCGAUGGGCACCAAGGAGGAGCUACGUGUGCACUGCGUGGGCAUCGAGAGGGUGUGCCCUACGGACCACAUGCUCGAGCUGAGACCGGCUGAGGGCAUCACGGUGACGCAGGGCCUCUGCCACGAGCUGCGUGCCGAGGCCACCAUGGGCAAGCUACUUGGUGGUGAGGUGAGCCGGCGCAACGACGACGACCCUGACCGCCGCUUCGCCGCUAUGGUGGGCGGCUUCCCGACGAUUGUGAAGGACGAGAAGUCCAAACGGCUGCUGUGCAACGAGUGCCCGUCGGUGUCCAAGGAUCCCCGAGGUCUAGUCGACAGCGCUCUGGCGAGAGGCGCGUGCACGUGCACCCAUCACUUUCUUGUACCUGCCGUGCUCGGAAGGCGAAUAGACACAACACCCGAAGACAGCGGCAGCAGCACUAGUGGCAGCGGAUGCAGCAGUAGCGGCACACGGAGACGCAAGCAGGGACGCACACACCCUCACGAGGGGUCAGAGGUCACCUGUGUGCGAACACGCGGGCGGGAGAUAGAAGGAGGUAGAGGGAUGCCGAAUGCGCCAGAGAACAGAAAAGAUGGAUGAUCGACGCAUGCUUGCAAAGGAGGGGAAAGCAAAGACAAGCGAAGACGGUUUUGGUGUUGCCAUUUGUGCCUGCGUUGCUGUGGCUGCUCCUCAUCCUGCUGUGGUCGGCACUGCUGCCCUUCCCGUUGAUUUCCAACCUAGUCCCCUCCGACUGCCGCGCCACUUAGCUGCCUUGCGUCUGUUUCCCCGUUUGUUCUCUCUGGUUUGUGUGUGUGUGUGUGCCUGUGCCGUUACCCUGUGCUGCCCUCUCUCUGUCGACGUGCCCGGUAAGACCCCCGCCCGCCCCCGUCUCUCUCCUUUUAUUUUCUCUCGUCCUCUCCAGACGGCUCACCAGUGAUCCCACUCUCUCUGUGUGGGCGUGCGAUUUAUCUUCACCUCUGCUCCGGUGUUGGAGGGAGGGGCUUCAUGGAGUUGGGCGCGGUGUCAGGUUCCGCGUGUGUGCGUGUCUGUGUUCACACGCCACCCGCUCUCGUACAUCUCCGCUCCUCCGCACGCCCCGAUAUCCCCCGGUAAAGCACAACACACAGUCAGGGCAGCAAGCAACGUAUGCGCGUCUGCUUUCAAGGCUGCAAUGCGGUGGCAACGACACCCCUCGCUGUUUCGGUUGGCGUUGACUGCUGCCUUCACGCCGGAAACACAACAGGAGGUGGGGCGAGGGGCCUAGCUUGUGUCUCUGUGUCUCUCUUGCGUGCUUGUCGUGCUACUC